rnacentral:rRNA from 1 species
CGCUGGCGGCGUGCCUAACACAUGCAAGUCGAACGCCCUGUACUUCGGUACAGGGAGUGGCGGACGGGUGAGUAACACGUGGGUGAUCUGCCUUUGGGUGAGGAAUAUCGGCGAGAAAUCGCUGCCAAUACCGCAUAUGUUUGGCGACAAACAAAGCCUCUCAUUAGAGAGACGCCCAAAGAGGAGCCCGCGUCCGAUUAGCCAGUUGGUGGGGUAAUGGCCUACCAAAGCGACGAUCGGUAGCUGGUCUGAGAGGACGAUCAGCCACACUGGGACUGAGACACGGCCCAGACUCCUACGGGAGGCAGCAGUGGGGAAUCUUGCGCAAUGGGCGAAAGCCUGACGCAGCAACGCCGCGUGGGGGAUGAAGGCUCUCGGGUUGUAAACCCCUUUCAGCAGGGACGAAUCAAGACGGUACCUGCAGAAGAAGCCCCGGCUAACUACGUGCCAGCAGCCGCGGUAACACGUAGGGGGCAAGCGUUGUCCGGAUUUAUUGGGCGUAAAGAGCUCGUAGGUGGCUAAGUAAGUCGGAUGUUAAAUCCCCAGGCUCAACCUGGGACACCACCCGAUACUGCUUUGGCUAGAGUCCGGUAGGGGAGCAUGGAAUUCCUGGUGUAGCGGUGAAAUGCGCAGAUAUCAGGAGGAACACCAGCGGCGAAGGCGGUGCUCUGGGCCGGAACUGACACUGAGGAGCGAAAGCGUGGGUAGCAAACAGGAUUAGAUACCCUGGUAGUCCACGCCGUAAACGUUGGGCACUAGGUGUGGGGUCUAUUCAACGGACUCCGUGCCGUAGCUAACGCAUUAAGUGCCCCGCCUGGGGAGUACGGCCGCAAGGCUAAAACUCAAAGGAAUUGACGGGGGCCCGCACAAGCAGCGGAGCAUGUUGCUUAAUUCGAGGCAACGCGAAGAACCUUACCUGGGCUUGACAUGUAGAGAAAAGCCGUAGAGAUACGGUGUCCUUCGGGGUUCUACACAGGUGGUGCAUGGUUGUCGUCAGCUCGUGUCGUGAGAUGUUGGGUUAAGUCCCGCAACGAGCGCAACCCUUGUCCUAUGUUGCCAGCGGGUAAUGCCGGGGACUCGUAGGAGACUGCCGGGGUCAACUCGGAGGAAGGUGGGGACGACGUCAAAUCAUCAUGCCCCUUAUGUCCAGGGCUGCAAACAUGCUACAAUGGCCGGUACAAAGGGCUGCGAAACCGCGAGGUGGAGCGAAUCCCAUAAAGCCGGUCUCAGUUCGGAUUGGAGUCUGCAACUCGACUCCAUGAAGCUGGAGUUGCUAGUAAUCCCGGAUCAGCAACGCCGGGGUGAAUACGUUCCCGGGCCUUGUACACACCGCCCGUCACACCAUGAAAGUUGGAAACGCCCGAAGCCAGUGGCCCAACCCUCGGGAGGGAGCUGUCGAAGGUGAAAUCAGCGAUUAGGGU